UUCGAGCAGUCAGCGUAAUUGGACACACAAUAGUUUUUCUAAAAUAACUUCUAUAAUUUGUAUCCGAUCCCAAAAAAAUUCUCAGGAAUUUCGCUUCAAAAUUUCGCUUGUUUUUCGAUUCUUGCCGAUCUGCGAAAGCGUGGAAAAAGUUAGCUGAAAUCUAAGUUUUCAUACGGACGGAAGGACGAAGUUAAAUACCCUUCUAACCUAUAGAUAGCGGGUAUAAACAUGUGCCACGCAUUUGAUUUUUAGCAAAGCAAAGUGUGUCAGUGUGUGUGUGGGCGAAAAGGGAAAAUAAAUUUAUUUGCGUGUCAGGCUAAAAUGCGAAGCAUGGAAACAAUAAAAUGCCAAAUAAGCAGAAUGAGUGGCAGCCAAAGAAGAGAAAUGGGAAAGGGAAAGGAACAGAGAGAAAGAGAGACACACUGUGUUCUGUUGUCCUAAGCAGCUGCAAUUAGUGUGGAGUGUUAUUUCUCCUGUUGAGGGUCUAAAAAGGCCUCGGAUAAGCUAAUAACUUAUGUAAAUGCUGCUGCUGUUGCUGCUCUCGAAAAGAAAGAGAGCGCUGAGCGCAGAGUGUAGCUCGCAGCGACGCGACGCGGCACAACAAAUAGAACAAGAACAACAACCACAAAAAGGCGGUACAAGAACAACUAGUUAUUACAACAACUGUGGCAACACUUGUGCCACAACACAUUCUAUGCCGGCACCCAAAAGAAAGGCAAAAAAAAACCAGCAAAUUGUAGAAGCAACAAACGAUGGAAGAAGAGAUGAGAAAUGGCAACUUUUUAGGGGUGUCUUAGGAAAACUUGAAAGCUGACACCCGCAAAACGAAUUUUUCGGAAGCCAGAGUUGCCAGCUGCUGCCAGUGUGGAGUCUAGAGACUGGGGGUGAAUGAGAGUGUGUGAAUGGUGGAUGGUUUUUUGCUAAAAGGCCAAACUAAAGGUGUUGCGAAUAUGUGUGUUUUCUAAAGUGCUUAAAUUGCAGCAAGCCAAAAGCAGUUUGUGUAUCAGUUCUCGAGGUGUUAGUGUGUGUGGAGGGCAGAAGAUCGAACAAAGUUGUUUUUCCUUUUUUUGUAGUAGUUAUGCACAAAACUGCUCGGCAAAGUGAUAAUGCGCACAAAGUAAAUGCAAAGGUGCAACAAAAGCAACAACAACAACAACAUCAGCUGUGAGACUUUUACACUAAACAACAAAGUUAAGCUGGGCAGCAACAGCCCUGGCAAGUUUUAUGACUGCAGCAUCAGAACACAGGAGGAGUUGAAACAACAAAAAGCAACUGGGUACGAAAUGUUACACAAUCCGCACGUGCAACACGGCGUAUGCACAAUGCGUGGCAUGAAACGAGUAAUGUGGGAAAUGUUGUAAGUCGUAAGUCGAGGUCAUGUUCUCCUCUCUCUCACUCUCGCUCUCUCUUUCACGCGCUCGCUCGCUGUGGGCUCCCAGCAUGCCGAUAAAUUUGUAUAACGCUUAAGUGCAAAAGACGGGAUAAAUGCAAAAUAUAAAUAUGAGAAAUUCCUAAAGCAACAAAAAAUACAAGGGAGAAAAAAACUAAACCAAAGGCUCAUAAAGUGCGGAAAGUUAUGGAUUUGGCAGAAAUAUUGCAGAGAUGUAUGCUCCAUAUACGAGAGAGAAGUAGAGCAUGCAGCAAGAGUUAUGAUUAUGCAGCAAGAUCCUUGCUGCAAGGACUUUGCUGAGGCCAAUACAUGACAAAUAAUGGCAAUGGCUUUUGAUGAAGACAAAUGGAAAACACUAUGCAGAGAGUUAUGAAAAUAUAGGCACACAGAACAGAAUCUAAAAUAUGCCUAAAACAGUUAGAAGUGGAAGAUAUAUUACAAUUUUAGCAUAGGAAU